UACGUAGGGUGCAAGCGUUAAUCGGAAUUACUGGGCGUAAAGCGUGCGCAGGCGGUUAUAUAAGACAGUUGUGAAAUCCCCGGGCUCAACCUGGGAAUUGCGAUGGAGACUGCAAGGCUAGAAUCUGGCAGAGGGGGGUAGAAUUCCACGGUGUAGCAGUGAAAUGCGUAGAGAUGUGGAGGAACACCGAUGGCGAAGGCAGCCCCCUGGGUCAAGAUUGACGCUCAUGCACGAAAGCGUGGGGAGCAAACAGG
rnacentral:rRNA from 1 species